rnacentral:rRNA from 1 species
GAAAGCGUUAUAACGCAGAGAUUCGAGUAAUGUAGGUGGGAGAGAUGGCGAGUGGCGGACGGGUGAGUAACGCGUGGGGAUAUGCCUCAAAGUCGGGGGACAACCCGAGGAAACUCGGGCUAAUACCGCAUACGCUCUAAGGAGGAAAGCUAGGGACCUUCGGGCCUGGCGCUUUGAGAUUAACCUGCGUCCGAUUAGCUAGUUGGUGGGGUAAAGGCCUACCAAGGCGACGAUCGGUAGCUGGUCUGAGAGGAUGAUCAGCCACACUGGGACUGAGACACGGCCCAGACUCCUACGGGAGGCAGCAGUGGGGAAUAUUGGACAAUGGGGGCAACCCUGAUCCAGCAAUGCCGCGUGUGUGAAGAAGGCCUUAGGGUUGUAAAGCACUUUCAGCAGUGAGGAAAGGGGUGUCGUUAAUAGCGCCAUCCUGUGACGUUAACUGCAGAAGAAGGACCGGCUAACUCCGUG